GCUUGUCUCAAAGAUUAAGCCAUGCAUGUUCAAGUAUAGCAAGUGUACAGUGAAACUGCGAAUGGCUCAUUAAAUCAGUUAUAAUUUAUUUGAUAGUGAAAUUGUACAUGGAUAACCGUGGCAAUUCUAGGGCUAAUACAUGCGUCAAUGGUCGGUCGACCAGUAUUUAUUAGAUAACAGACCAUCUCCCCCAAAGGAAAUGUGGUGAAUCAUAGUAACUAAUCGGAUCGCAUGGGCUUUGCCCGCGACAAACCAUUCAAGUUUCUGCCCCAUCAGCUUUCGAUGGUAGUGUAUUGGACUACCAUGGCUAUUACGGGUAACGG
rnacentral:rRNA from 1 species